CACUCCUACUGGCUAACUCCUACUGACCACUCAUCAGUCCUAGCAGUAGGACCGCGUCUGGCUCCACUUGGCCCCCGGCACCCCGUUCUGCCCCACCACCCCCCUCAGGGACGCCGUCUCCGGCGCCGUCUCCCCCGGGGGGGAGCCCUGAGCCUGGUGGGGCGGGCGUGGCCCCGCGGCCGCCGCCGCCGCCUGGUGCAUGUUCUGGGCCAGGUAGCCCCCGGGGUCGCCGCUGGGGAGGCCGAAGAGCCCCGGGGGCGGGUAGGCGUGGGGGGAGCGGCGGGGAGGGUAGAGCGGGUUGUGGCAGCUGCGCGAGCUGUGCGAGCGGGGGUUCAGACGGGACGGCGGGUCGGGGGCUCGCUGGAACCGCAGCAAGGGGUCCUGGGGGGGUUGGACGUCGUAGGCCUGGCGGUGGUACUGGCCCCCGCCCCCCGAGGAGGCGCGGCGCGAGGCCCCCGCCUGCUGGAAGGAGGAGCAGCUGAACAAGGCGGCGGCGUAGGGCGGCGGCGGGGGGACGGCGUCGGCGCCCGGGUACUGGCGGCCCCUGAAGUGCGUCUGGCGGCGGGAGGAGGAGGAGGAGGAAGGGCCGGGGCGGCUCGGGCUGUCGCUGUCCGCCUCGUUGCCGUCCUCCUCCGCCGCCAUCUUGGCCAUGAGCAGCUCGGCGAGGUUCUGACCCGAGAGCGGCUCGGUGUCCUCGUCUUCGGACCAGGAGCGCUUGGCCGCCGCCGCCGCCGCCGCGCACGGCCCCCGGUCGGGCCCCCCCGGAGCCCGGUCGUCCCCGGCCCGCCCGCCGCCGCCGCCGCCGCCGCCCCCCGGGGGGGACGGGAGGGAGCCGGAGGAGCGGCUGUCCCCGGGCGAGGUGAGCGGCGAGCGCUCCCGGGGGGUGUCCAGGUCGCUGGUGGCCCAGCCCCGGCCCACGGGGAGCGCCACGGAGGAGGAGGCCGCCGCCGCCGCCGCCGGGGGAGGGGGGGCGGACGGCGACAGGCUGAAGGGGUAGUUGACGUAGACGGGCUGCCGGGGCUCCGCCGGCGGUCUGUAGGGCCGCUGGGGGCCGUGGCGUCGGGCGGGGGGCGCCGGCCUCUUGGCGCGGUGCGCGGCGGCGGCGGUCGCCGGCGCGUCCUCGGGCUGGUCGCGGUAACACACGCGGCCGUUCUCGAAGUAGGGGUGCAGCGGCGCGGGCUGCGGGUUGGGGGGGUUGGAGGCGUGCAGAGAGGCGGCGGCGGGGGCGUGGCGCGCCUUACGCGGCGAGGAGAACGUGCGGGAGGCGGCGGCGGCGGCGGCGGCGGCGGGGGUGAGGGCGCUGAAGCAGGAGGCCGGGAUGGGGUGCAUCUCGCUGCCGGCCGGCAGCCGGCUGAACGACGCUUGCGGGGGCGGGCCCGGGUCGCCGUGGGAGGGCGGGAAGUGGCUCGCCUCUGGGAGGGCGUGGUGGGAGGGGGCGGGGCCGUGGUAGGCCUCGGGGGAGGAGUGGGGCUGGGGGCGGGGCUGGAGGCGGGGCGCGGGGAAAAGGCUUCCCUCCAGGUCGGGCCGGGGGGGGCCGAAGGCGUGCCUGGAGUAACUGGGCGGGCGGAAGGGGUAGGGCUCCUCCCCCUCGGGGCCCCCGAUCUCGUGGUACGGGUUCUGCUUGUCUCGCAGACGCUCCGCCUUGAUGCUGGCCUGUGCAAAGUGGUGCUGUGCCGCCAGCGCCUGGGGACGAGGAAACAGACGGGGGGUUAG
rnacentral:lncRNA from 1 species